UACGGAGGAUCCAAGCGUUAUCCGGAUUUAUUGGGUUUAAAGGGUGCGUAGGCGGAUUGAUAAGUUAGAGGUGAAAUGUCCGAGCUCAACUCGGGAACUGCCUCUAAUACUGUUGAUCUAGAGAGUAGAUGCGGUAGGCGGAAUGUAUGGUGUAGCGGUGAAAUGCUUAGAGAUCAUACAGAACACCGAUUGCGAAGGCAGCUUACCAAUCUAUAUCUGACGCUGAGGCGCGAAAGCGUGGGGAGCAAACAGG
rnacentral:rRNA from 1 species